rnacentral:misc_RNA from 1 species
CAAAGAUGUCAAAAACAUCAAAGCAUGAAAUCAACGAAGGACUAAGUCAUUGCUAUUCAGAAUUACCAGAAAAUGCAUGAUAGCUUUAGGUAUUAGGUCUUCAUUUUUCUUCCUGACAAUGUCACAGUAUGACCUCAAUACCAGUUUUGUGAUGGCAAUUACAACAGUCCACUGAUCUGAAUGAGGCCUCAAGAUACUUGGGAGCUUCAAGCAAAACAUAUAGAGAUAUCAUGUUUGAUUUUAUCACCAACGUAAUCCAUAAAGAAAUCAACGUAAUUCAGGAUCACUGAAUUGUUUGCUAAUGAAAUCGUCUUCUAUAAAUGGACGAUUGUCCGACCCACCAAAUAUUGAUGAUAUUCUCCAACUUGAACCGACAUUUGAUCCUGAUAAGGGAUAAAACCACCAACUGAUCUGGCAAGGAUAGCAUGUGAUAUUAGACUGCUUUCUGAGG